CAUCCACAAUGGUGCAAUGCACAUGGAUUCUGGCUCUGGUAAUGGACAGGGAGCAGUCCCUGGAGACAGGGCCACACUUACCCUAAUGACAGUCUCCGGGGUCUUCAUCCAGCCUGAGCACCCUGCAUGGAGCCCGGCCUGAAGUGCUCCAGCUCAGAGGAGGAGGAGGGAGAGGCAGGCACCUUCUGUCCAACAGGAAGAAGGAACCCAAGACUGAAGACCCACAGCUAAAGAUGAUGAAACUAAGACUAAGAGAAGUUCACCAACUUGUCCAAGGCCACAACUCACAGUGGAAUCUGAACUCGGCUCCAUAUGACUCGAGUCCCACGAUCUUUUCAUGUUCCCUGCUACCUCUCCCUCUCAGCCUGCUACAGUGAUGGGACAUUUAUGAACUUGCAAAAUGCUUUCUCACAAAUGAUCUUAUUUGAUUUUCACAAACAUGUGUGAGGCAGGUAUAAGUUCUGUUCUAUGGAUGAACAAUUGGUCUUCAGGUAAAGAACAACUUGUCCAAGGUCAAAUAGCUGAUAAGUAUCUGGGAACUGGGACCUAAAUACACAUUUGAUGAGUAACUUUGCCACAAUAUCUUAUCUGGACACUUGAAAACAUACUCCAGCCCUGUCAUAAACCCAGGAGAAUUUGAAGAUGUCCCUCCCUACUUACAGCCUGGUUUCAUGAUCACUAGAAACUUGUUUAACUAAACUCCUUUCUGUUCUCAGGAUGGCUCAGGGGACUGAGCUGGAAAAAAAAAGGCCUCAGAAGGGAAAUGGAGGCCCAGAAAGCUUUGGUGAGCAGCUCGAGAUUACAUAGGACAUGGAGACCAGAACUCAUGUUUCCUCAAAUAGUUCAUUUCCAGGGGGCUUUUAGGCUAUUAAUUCUAUAAUCUGCCCUCUGUCUGCCUCAGGGACUCUCCCCUCCAACCCCCAUUUGGACCAUGAACUGAUGCCAAUGGCACCAAGGAAGCAUCAACUGAUACUGGGCAGAAGGGCAGGGCAGUGGCCCCUGGGAGUCUUCAUGGCUCCUCUGGCAGAAAGUACCUGGAGGCAUCAGCUCAUGGACCUGGAGCAUAUCAGCAAGGAACAGAGAUAAACUGUACCGCAUCACCACCCUGGCACUACUCAUGAGAAACUUUCCCAACCAUUAUGCUUGGUUGACUUGGCCGGAAAGGAGUUAACACACAACAUGUGAGGAGUACACUGAGUAGGGAGCUGUGUUCUUGGGUGACCUGUGGGUAUCUGGGCCCAUUUAAUGCACCAAGUCUUCAAAUAGUGGCAGCCAUCACAGGCUCUUCUGUCUGCUUGUGCAUGCACAUGGGGAUCCUUCACUUGGUGGCUUCUCCCCAAGCAAACGUUUUUAGCCCAUCCUGGAUUCUCCUCACUGCCCUCUCUACCCUGGGAAAUGCAACCCACAUUGUCCAAGUCAGACCUAAUUAGACCAGCAAAUCAGUGGCACUCAAGUCAUCACAGCACACUCCAAGCACAAGAGGAAAUGCUGUGUAGGUUAUCCUGUGCGCUGCUUGUUGUGUCUGUUUGUGUUUCCUUGGAUUAUCCAUUCUCUGCUCCCUGCCUUCCAUUACCUCACUAAUGGAGAGGCAGGAUGCAGUCCUCCACAGGCCAGCAUUCAUCUUCCCAGUCUGACCCUCUCGGAGGCUAUUACGCUGCUGUCGCAAGAUCGACGAGGGGAGAAAAAUGAAAACAGUGCACAGGGAACAAUGGAGGGCAAAUGGGACUCUUUUAGAACCGGAUCCACUGAUACGUCAGGCCAAGGAGAAAUGACCACAAGCUCUGAAAAGUGGAGAGCUCCCCCAGACGGCAAAGCCAGCAUUGCAGAAGAAAACACGGAAGCCGCCAGCACUAUUAUGCAUUCAUGAUUCCAGCUUCAACCAGUCCUCUCUGCUGCAAUCCCUUUAUUCCUCCUCUGCAGCUGCCCCGGCACCUCUGCACAGUCCUUUUCUGAAUCUGCCCCUCACCGUGCUCCCCACCUGCACGCCGUCCUCAGAACAGAUUGCCUUGCCUGACCUCCUGAGGCCGACGGAGAUGGUGAUGUGACCUCCUUUGCCCUCCAUCACUGUGCCUCCCACACCUCUGCGCAGCUCGUUCAUUCUCUCUCCCUCCACUCUGACUUAAGGGAAGAGGAAUUUUAAAACCAACCUCAUCCCUUCCCACCUCCUCAGGAAACUCACUCCUUUGCUUACCCUCUCUCCACUUUUAAAAAUAACGAUAUAAAUGCCCCUUUCGCCUGUGAUUCCUUCUGAGCACAGACCCUUCUUGCUUAAGCCCCUGUGAGUUAAUUUUCAGUCUCACAGCUCUUCUCAAUCCAACAGUAUUUUUGCAGCUUUCAGCCUCGGGAAGCUCUUGAUGGGCUCGUCUGCCACGCUACCAACUUCCUUCUUGGAAGUCCCUCCCCGUCUUCUGCGUCUGCCUUGUGCCCAUUCUCCCUCUGGGGUCAGUCCUCUGCCGUCCGGCAGGCCCAUCCUCCACUCCCCAUUAUGGUCCCUCUUUACAGCCUCAUCUGGUCUCUCAUUACACUCUGCAGUAGCCUGAUGGUCAGCUCUUUAAUCAAAUCCCAUUCAGUUCCCUAAAGUACCAAAGUUCCCCAUGAGUCCCUAGAACAGUGUCCUAAAUCAGACACGUCACCCUCUCUACCCCAAUACUGGCCCCACU
rnacentral:lncRNA from 1 species